UGAUGGUGACAUUCCCUCAGUGGAUUUCAGCAGCCAUGGUGGGAGAAAAUUCCCUUUAACAACCAUGAAGAAUGCAGUGGCUCCUUCCUGCUCACAUCCCACAGAUCUUCAGUCCCAGGAUGUUUCCCUGCUCCUUACAUCCCUUGCUUCUCAGCCCAUGGAAAUUAGUGAGCCCAUACCAAAGAGGCUACAGAACAAGAUGGAAAGCAUGAAAAACUUGGUGGAAUCAUUACAGAUCACAAAACAAGAUGCCAAUAUUUACCAAAGCUAUUCCUGUUUUACUGAAAAAAACUCUCCCAAAACUGUUCUUGGUACCUGCCAAGGCAGUACCUGUGCUUUUACUAGCACACACUAGUUUUACUAGCAGUACUCACUUCUGC